rnacentral:rRNA from 1 species
CGGAAUGAUUGGGCGUAAAGGGUCCGCAGGUGGCAUUGUAAGUCUGCUGUUAAAGAGUUUGGCUCAACCAAAUAAGAGCAGUGGAAACUACAAAGCUAGAGUGUGGUCGGGGCAGAGGGAAUUCCUGGUGUAGCGGUGAAAUGCGUAGAUAUCAGGAAGAACACCAGUGGCGAAGGUGCUCUGCUAGGCCGAGACUGACACUGAGGGACGAAAGCUAGGGGAGCGAAUGGGAUUAGAUACCCCAGUAGUCCUAGCCGUAAACGAUGGAUACUAGGCGUAGCUCGUAUCGACCCGAGCUGUGCCGGAGCUAACGCGUUAAGUAUCCCGCCUGGGGAGUACGCAGGCAACUGUGAAACUCAAAGGAAUUGACGGGGGCCCGCACAAGCGGUGGAGUAUGUGGUUUAAUUCGAUGCAACGCGAAGAACCUUACCAAGGCUUGACAUGUCACGAAUCCUAUUGAAAGAUGGGAGUGCCUUCGGGAGCGUGAACACAGGUGGUGCAUGGCUGUCGUCAGCACGUGUCGUGAGAUGUUGGGUUAAGUCCCGCAACGAGCGCAACCCUCGUUUUUAGUUGCCAGCAUUAAGAUGGGCACUCUAGAGAGACUGCCGGUGAACAACCGGAAGAAAGUGGGGAUGACG